UGGAAUGAUUUAUUGUGAUUGACUGAACAAAUUUUACCCAUGUACAAGUAACAAUAGCUUGGGCUUCUUCCAGGUACAUUCAUUUAGUUAGUACAGUUCAAGGAGACCUUGUCUUGGCAUAAUGGGUUGUUCAAGGAAGAACAAUUUGUGAUUGCGUUCCAAGUAGCUACACGACUUUGGGUGGUGUACUCUCCCAGACAGAAGAACAGAAUUUUUACAGGGGAAACCAGCUAAGUAUUCUACUGCUGACAUGCUUGAAUUUCAUGUGUGCUUUCAAACUGUGAAUUCCAUAAAUCCACUGAUCCCCAUGUAUUGGACAGAAGUUUUUAGGACACUCUAAGUGGGAUUCAUCAUUGCAUGCUGUCAGUUGUCAGAAAUCACCGCUGUGCUGUGGAGUUCUUUUUGAAUUUUCUCUUCUGUUUUUGUUCUUUCUCUGUGUAUAGGAAUGCAAUCUGCUGAUCUUAACUUUGGUAUGAACUAACUGGCAGUGCUGUGGGCUGACAGUUUAAUAACAAUUCAAGAAGGUUUUUGUUUGUCUUUUUUAAAAGUGUCUGAAGUGUUUGGGGAGUAAGCCUAGACUUCUGUGUCAAGUGUUAUUUUGUGCAGUUUUUCUUUUAUUUUUUUUGAAGCUUAAUUUUGAAACACUUUGAGGGUUUUUUUUUUUUUAAUACUGCUAUCUUUUGUUCAGACUUCAGCAAUUGCUAAGAGAUGCAUAAUGGAUUAGCAAGGAAAUUAGAUACACUUCUUUGCCUAAGGAAUGCUACUUUUGGCUUUUAGUAGAGGAAAACUUCUAUUUUAAAAAAGAAAAAAUUGAAACAAUUAUACUACAAGUCACAUUUAAUUGCAGGAAUGACUGUAACAACAUUGUUUUCCUACAUUUGUUGCCAUAAACUUUCCAAAAUAUUAAAAUACUGAUUUAGACGGGGAUUUUAACAAAUGCA